rnacentral:rRNA from 1 species
CUCCACCGCUUGUGUGAGCCCCCGUCAAUUCCUUUGAGUUUCAGCCUUGCGACCAUACUCCCCAGGCGGGGCACUUCACGGUUUCCCUUCGGCAGGGAGCCCAUCGGCGAGCCCCCUACCCAGUGCCCAUCGUUUACAGCUAGGACUACCGGGGUAUCUAAUCCCGUUCGCUACCCUAGCUUUCGCGUCUCAGCGUCAGAAAACGUCCAGGACCUCGCUUUCGCCACGGGCGUUCCUUCCGAUCUCAACGCAUUUCACCGCUCCACCGGAAGUUCCAGGUCCCCCUACGUCCCUCCAGACGGGGCGUUUCGGCGCCCUUCCCCGGUUGAGCCGGGGGAUUUCAGCUACCGACGUCCCCAUCCGCCUACACGCGCUUUAAGCCCAGUGAUUCCGAAUAACGUUCGCACGGUUCGUCUUACCGCGGCUGCUGGCACGAACUUAGCCCGUGCUUCCUCCAG